rnacentral:rRNA from 1 species
UACGUAGGGGGCAAGCGUUGUCCGGAUUUAUUGGGCGUAAAGAGCGUGUAGGCGGCCAGGUAGGUCCGUUGUGAAAACUGGAGGCUUAACCUCCAGCUGUCGAUGGAAACCAUCUGGCUAGAGUCCGGAAGAGGAGAGUGGAAUUCCUGGUGUAGCGGUGAAAUGCGCAGAUAUCAGGAAGAACACCCGUGGCGAAGGCGGCUCUCUGGUACGUGACUGACGCUGAGACGCGAAAGCGUGGGGAGCGAACAGG